GAGGAUAGGCUGCUCGGUGUUAAGCCCUCCCAUGUCACUGUGACUUCCAUGUCUUCAGGACUUCACAUGGCGCUCCCUCAUCACCUCGUUACUGCCCCCUUAUCCUUGAAUGGCGUUGAACUGAACCAAAGGAGUACCAGUGAGGGUGUUACCCCUCGCCGGGCACACUUAGAACCACCUUGAGGCAAUUGGCAUGACACCCUUCUCAGAUAUGGAGGGGUUGUCUAUCUGAAAGCUCUCUACAUCACGAUGCCACACCCUCCCUGCAAAAGGAGGGCCUGCGCACCCAACUCCCAGGCAAGGCUGGUAUUGACACUCUUCCCAGGCUGUCUGUAGGCUACGUGGACACUGACACAAAGAAGUCUCUGGAUCCCUGACUGUCAUCCAGAUGGGCGUGCUUGGACAGCAGGCUGGCGGUGAGACGCUAUUUCCAGUCUUGGUUGUGUGGUCUUUGGGUCCAGAGCAAGCAGGCUUUGGAGGAGUGUAGGAAGACCGAGCCGAUCAACAGGAAGUGAGCAAGUAUGGCUGCCCAGCAAGGGUCAGAAUCUGCUCCUUGCUUCCGGAUCGCCCCCUCGGCCUGAUGGACCCAGUAAACAAGGAAAGGAAGCACACAGGAGCUCCGUGUGUGCCCCACACCGCAAGUCUGGGGCUUCUAUGGUCCUGCGUUUCCUG
rnacentral:lncRNA from 1 species